AGCGAACGCUGGCGGCAGGCCUAACACAUGCAAGUCGAGCGCCCCGCAAGGGGAGCGGCAGACGGGAGAGUAACACGUGGGAACGUACCCUUCAGUACGGAACAACCAAGGGAAACUUUGGCUAAUACCGUAUACGUCCGUAAGGAGAAAGAUUUAUCGCUGAAGGAUCGGCCCGCGUCUGAUUAGCUAGUUGGUGAGGUAACGGCUCACCAAGGCGACGAUCAGUAGCUGGUCUGAGAGGAUGAUCAGCCUAACUGGGACUGAGACACGGCCCAGACUCCUACGGGAGGCAGCAGUGGGGAAUAUUGGACAAUGGGCGCAAGCCUGAUCCAACCAUGCCGCGUGGGUGAUGAAGGCCCUAGGGUUGUAAAGCCCUUUCGGCGGGGAAGAUAAUGACGGUACCCGCAGAAGAAGCCCCGGCUAACUUCGUGCCAGCAGCCGCCGUAAAAC
rnacentral:rRNA from 1 species